rnacentral:rRNA from 1 species
AGAGUUUGAUCAUGGCUCAGAGCGAACGCUGGCGGCAGGCUUAACACAUGCAAGUCGAGCGGGCGUAGCAAUACGUCAGCGGCAGACGGGUGAGUAACGCGUGGGAACGUACCUUUUGGUUCGGAACAACCCAGGGAAACUUGGGCUAAUACCGGAUAAGCCCUUACGGGGAAAGAUUUAUCGCCGAAAGAUCGGCCCGCGUCUGAUUAGCUAGUUGGUGAGGUAAUGGCUCACCAAGGCGACGAUCAGUAGCUGGUCUGAGAGGAUGAUCAGCCACAUUGGGACUGAGACACGGCCCAAACUCCUACGGGAGGCAGCAGUGGGGAAUAUUGGACAAUGGGCGCAAGCCUGAUCCAGCCAUGCCGCGUGAGUGAUGAAGGCCCUAGGGUUGUAAAGCUCUUUUGUGCGGGAAGAUAAUGACGGUACCGCAAGAAUAAGCCCCGGCUAACUUCGUGCCAGCAGCCGCGGUAAUACGAAGGGGGCUAGCGUUGCUCGGAAUCACUGGGCGUAAAGGGUGCGUAGGCGGGUCUUUAAGUCAGGGGUGAAAUCCUGGAGCUCAACUCCAGAACUGCCUUUGAUACUGAAGAUCUUGAGUUCGGGAGAGGUGAGUGGAACUGCGAGUGUAGAGGUGAAAUUCGUAGAUAUUCGCAAGAACACCAGUGGCGAAGGCGGUUCACUGGCCCGAUACUGACGCUGAGGCACGAAAGCGUGGGGAGCAAACAGGAUUAGAUACCCUAGUAGUCC